GAUGAACGCUGGCUACAGGCUUAACACAUGCAAGUCGAGGGGAAACGACGGGGAAGCUUGCUUCCCCGGGCGUCGACCGGCGCACGGGUGAGUAACGCGUAUCCAACCUGCCUCUGACUGAGGGAUAACCCGUCGAAAGUCGGCCUAAUACCUCAUGGCAUCGUCUGCGGGCAUCCAACGACGAUUAAAGAUUUCAUCGGUCAGAGAUGGGGAUGCGUCUGAUUAGCUUGUUGGCGGGGUAACGGCCCACCAAGGCGACGAUCAGUAGGGGUUCUGAGAGGAAGGUCCCCCACAUUGGAACUGAGACACGGUCCAAACUCCUACGGGAGGCAGCAGUGAGGAAUAGUGGUCAAUGGGCGAGAGCCUGAACCAGCCAAGUAGCGUGCAGGAUGACGGCCCUAUGGGUUGUAAACUGCUUUUAUACGGGGAUAAAGUGAGGGACGUGUCCUCCAUUGCAGGUACCGCAUGAAUAAGGACCGGCUAAUUCCGUG
rnacentral:rRNA from 1 species